UUUUAAAGGCCUUCCUCCCAGAAGGCAAGUUUCGAACCUUCCUCUUUGUUGCCCUUAUGCGCCAUCUUCCUCUUACCAACCCCAGGGGCUUUAGAUCUCUUUACUACUGAUAGAUUUUUCAUUCACAAUCAAUAACACAUAAUUCCAGAUCCGUGGGGAUGGGUCCUAUUUUCUCCAUCUUUGGGGGUUGUUUUUCAUUCACAAUCAAUAAUACAUAAUUCCAGAUCCAUGGGGAUGGGUAUUCUUUUCUCCAUCUUUGUGGGUUGGGAAUGGGAUUAACAGAGAUCCGGAGGAGACUGAAGAAGGGAUUACGGUUGGACGACGAAGGAAGGGGUAGGAGUGGGAUCGACGGGAAGGAGAUGCGAUUGGGAUGGA
rnacentral:lncRNA from 1 species